CAGUACCGCGGGAAUACGUAGGUGGCAAGCGUUGUCCGGAAUUAUUGGGCGUAAAGGGCUCGCAGGCGGUUUCUUAAGUCUGAUGUGAAAGCCCCCGGCUCAACCGGGGAGGGUCAUUGGAAACUGGGAAACUUGAGUGCAGAAGAGGAGAGUGGAAUUCCACGUGUAGCGGUGAAAUGCGUAGAGAUGUGGAGGAACACCAGUGGCGAAGGCGACUCUCUGGUCUGUAACUGACGCUGAGGAGCGAAAGCGUGGGGAGCGAACAGGAUUAGAUACCCCGGUAGUCCCUGUCUCUUAUACC
rnacentral:rRNA from 1 species